rnacentral:rRNA from 1 species
GUGCCAGCGCCGCGGUAAUACGGAGGGGGUUAGCGUUGUUCGGAAUUACUGGGCGUAAAGCGCGCGUAGGCGGAUUAGUAAGUCAGGGGUGAAAUCCCGAGGCUCAACCUCGGAACUGCCUUUGAUACUGCUAGUCUGGAGUUCUGGAGAGGUGAGUGGAAUUCCGAGUGUAGAGGUGAAAUUCGUAGAUAUUCGGAAGAACACCAGUGGCGAAGGCGGCUCACUGGCCAGAUACUGACGCUGAGGUGCGAAAGCGUGGGGAGCAAACAGGAUUAGAAACCCGGGUAGUCC